rnacentral:lncRNA from 1 species
GAUGAAAUCUUGGUGCUGAAACAGAACAAAGAGAAACAGAUUUUAUAACACAAUGACUGUCAUUUCUCAACACUUAAUACUGAAACCAUUGGGUAGAGGAGAAUGACACUGAGUAUCCAAGGUAUCCACCAACAUCACUCUUCCUUUUCAGCUGCCACUUGAAGCAGGUGUAAUACAUUCAUUGAUGGGUAUCCAACUAAGUCAUUUUCCUGACUGGAG